rnacentral:rRNA from 1 species
UACAGAGGCCCCAAGCGUUAGGCGGAAUCGCUGGGCUUAAAGCGUGUGUAGGCGGGAUGGUAAGUACUUUGUGAAAUCCCACGGCUUAACUGUGGAACUGCUUAGUAUACUGCCGUUCUGAGUCAUUUAGGGGCAGCCGGAACAGAUGGUGGAGCGGUGAAAUGCGUAGAUAUCAUCUGGAACGCCAAUGGUGCAGACAGGCUGCUGGGGAAUGAACUGACGCUGAGGCGACGAAAAGCCAGGGGGAGCGAACGGGGAAUUAGAAACCCCCAGGUUAG